rnacentral:pre_miRNA from 1 species
UGGACAGAUUAUUGUAUUCGACCGUAUUCGACUGUAUUCACGGCGUGAAACAGGGGAUUACACUGUUGUUUAAAUGGAAAGUGAAUCAAUUAACAUAAUAGACUCCU